UACGUAGGCAGCAAGCGUUGUUCGGAGUUACUGGGCGUAAAGGGUGUGUAGGCGGUUGGAUAAGUGUGGUGUGAAAUCUCCCCGGCUCAACUGGGAGGGUGCGCUACAAACUGUCUGACUCGAGUGUGGGAUGGGUAAGUGGAAUUCCUGGUGUAGCGGUGAAAUGCGUAGAUAUCAGGAGGAACACCGGUGGUGUAGACGGCUUACUGGACCAUAAACUGAC
rnacentral:rRNA from 1 species